ACCUUUCUGUAGUUCAUAAGCAUGAUGAUUGAGUUUUCACACUCACAUGUGAGAUAUGCCUACCUCAAAUCUUGUUAUGAGGGAGGCGCAUUACCCAUCUGACA